rnacentral:rRNA from 1 species
GACAGAGGGUGCGAACGUUGUUCGGAAUUACUGGGCGUAAAGCGCGUGUAGGUGGCAUCGCAAGUCGGAUGUGAAAGCCCGGGGCUCAACCCCGGAAGUGCAUUCGAUACUGCGAAGCUAGAGUCUCGGAGAGGAUGGCGGAACUCUCGGUGUAGAGGUGAAAUUCGUAGAUAUCGAGAAGAACACCGGCGGCGAAGGCGGCCAUCUGGACGAUGAUUGACAUUGAGCCGCGAAAGCGUGGGGAGCAAACAGG